rnacentral:rRNA from 1 species
CCUACGGGAGGCAGCAGUGGGGAAUCUUGCGCAAUGGGCGAAAGCCUGACGCAGCCAUGCCGCGUGAAUGAUGAAGGUCUUAGGAUUGUAAAAUUCUUUCACCGGGGACGAUAAUGACGGUACCCGGAGAAGAAGCCCCGGCUAACUUCGUGCCAGCAGCCGCGGUAAUACGAAGGGGGCUAGCGUUGCUCGGAAUUACUGGGCGUAAAGGGAGCGUAGGCGGAUAGUUUAGUCAGAGGUGAAAGCCCAGGGCUCAACCUUGGAAUUGCCUUUGAUACUGGCUAUCUUGAGUGUGGGAGAGGUUAGCGGAACUCCGAGUGUAGAGGUGAAAUUCGUAGAUAUUCGGAAGAACACCAGUGGCGAAGGCGGCUAACUGGCCCAUUACUGACGCUGAGGCUCGAAAGCGUGGGGAGCAAACAGGAUUAGAUACCCUGGUAGUCCACGCCGUAAACGAUGAGUGCUAGCUGUCGGCGAUGCAUGCAUGUCGGUGGUACGCGACGACGUAACGACAUUAAGUACACCUCCGUCCGUCGGGGUAGGUACGGGUCGGCGAACGAAGUUAAAACGUUAACGAAACGGAAAGUUAGUACGGACGUGAGACGUAGCCGAACGGACGACGACGAGGGAGGUUAGG